UACAGAGGGUGCGAGCGUUGUCCGGAAUCACUGGGCGUAAAGGGUGUGUAGGCGGUUCUUUAAGUUUGGUGUGAAAUCUCCCGGCUCAACUGGGAGGGUGCGCCGAAUACUGAGGGACUAGAGUACGGGAGAGGAAAGUGGAAUUCCUGGUGUAGCGGUGAAAUGCGUAGAUAUCAGGAGGAACACCGGUGGUGUAGACGGCUUUCUGGACCGUAACUGACGCUGAGACACGAAAGCGUGGGUAGCAAACAGG
rnacentral:rRNA from 1 species